rnacentral:rRNA from 1 species
CCUACGGGAGGCAGCAGUGGGGAAUAUUGGGCAAUGGGCGCAAGCCUGACCCAGCAACGCCGCGUGAAGGAAGAAGGCUUUCGGGUUGUAAACUUCUUUUAAGAGGGAAGAGCAGAAGAAGGUACCUCUUGAAUAAGCCACGGCUAACUACGUGCCAGCAGCCGCGGUAAUACGUAGGUGGCAAGCGUUGUCCGGAUUUACUGGGUGUAAAGGGCGUGCAGCCGGGAAGGCAAGUCAGACGUGAAAUCCCGCGGCUCAACCGCGGAACUGCAUUUGAAACUGUUUUUCUUGAGUACCGGAGAGGUCAUCGGAAUUCCUUGUGUAGCGGUGAAAUGCGUAGAUAUAAGGAAGAACACCAGUGGCGAAGGCGGAUGACUGGACGGCAACUGACGGUGAGGCGCGAAGGCGUGGGGAGCGAACGGGAUUAGAUACCCGAGUAGUC